CUCUUGUGACGUCACUACAUACAUACAUACACCUAGGUGGUACAGAAGAAAUAAGGAAGCAGUCCCUUCAGUGCUGGUCUGGUCCCCAUUUUAGGUUAAAGACGGCUUUUCAGACAGACCCAUGAGAACACACAUCCCCAAGAAAUCCAGGACUUAGCUUGCUACUUAGAUCUUGGUGCCACCCAAGCAAGCUUUCGUGCUGACUUUCGGCCAUUGUGACAGUGCCUCUUCAGUCACCAGGCCCUCUCUGGGAGAGUCCGUGUCACAGUCACUUAUAAAGGGAGGAUGGCUGGGCUGCUUUGGACUGAUGGACUUGGGGUGAGGGAAAGGGAUGUCGGGAAGAGCAGCCAUUGAACAUUAUUUCAACUGGAACCUCACUGCUGACCAGAGUUUGGGACCUCGAGAAGAUGGCAAAAGUCUGUACAUGUUGGUGUCCAAAAUGUUACAUGAAGGGUUUCCCAAAGAGAUACAAAGCAAAGAAAUCAUGCCAGAAAAGGAAGAAAAGUGAGGUACACAUUCUUUGGCUGAAGAAGCUGCUUGAUACCAUGAAGUACCAAGUUACAUUUGUUCCCGUUGAUUCAAAGAACACUGGUUCCCGCUGCAAGCCCAAGACCACCAUAAUCAUCAUUGAGCUUGCUACUCCACCCCAGGGUCUCUAAAUAAAACCUCCUCUUUCUUGGAAAAAA
rnacentral:sRNA from 1 species